GAUGAACGCUGGCGGCGUGCCUAAUACAUGCAAGUCGAGCGAACAGAUGAGGAGCUUGCUCCUCUGACGUUAGCGGCGGACGGGUGAGUAACACGUGGAUAACCUACCUAUAAGACUGGGAUAACUUCGGGAAACCGGAGCUAAUACCGGAUAAUAUAUUGAACCGCAUGGUUCAAUAGUGAAAGACGGUUUUGCUGUCACUUAUAGAUGGAUCCGCGCCGCAUUAGCUAGUUGGUAAGGUAACGGCUUACCAAGGCAACGAUGCGUAGCCGACCUGAGAGGGUGAUCGGCCACACUGGAACUGAGACACGGUCCAGACUCCUACGGGAGGCAGCAGUAGGGAAUCUUCCGCAAUGGGCGAAAGCCUGACGGAGCAACGCCGCGUGAGUGAUGAAGGUCUUCGGAUCGUAAAACUCUGUUAUUAGGGAAGAACAAAUGUGUAAGUAACUAUGCACGUCUUGACGGUACCUAAUCAGAAAGCUACGGCUAACUACGUG
rnacentral:rRNA from 1 species